AUUGAACGCUGGCGGCAGGCCUAACACAUGCAAGUCGAACGAGUGGCGGACGGGUGAGUAAUGUCUGGGAAACUGCCCGAUGGAGGGGGAUAACUACUGGAAACGGUAGCUAAUACCGCAUACCAUCGGAUGUGCCCAGAUGGGAGUAGCUGUUGGGUGAGGUAACGGCUCACCUGGGCGACGAUCCCUAGCUGGUCUGAGAGGAUGACCAGCCAACCUGGAAUGGAGCCACGGUCCAGACUCCUCCGGGAGGCAGUAGUGGGGAAUAUUGCACAAUGGGCGCAAGCCUGAUGCAGCCAUGGCGCGUGUAUGAAGAAGGCCUUCGGGUUGUAAAGUACUUUCAGCGGGGAGGCGUUACCCGCAGAAGAAGCCCCGGCUAACUCCGUGCCAGCAGCCGCGGUAAUUC
rnacentral:rRNA from 1 species